rnacentral:rRNA from 1 species
UACGUAGGGUGCAAGCGUUGUCCGGAAUUAUUGGGCGUAAAGAGCUUGUAGGCGGUUUGUCGCGUCGACUGUGAAAUCCCGCGGCUCAACUGCGGGUCUGCAGUCGAUACGGGCAGGCUAGAGUUCGGUAGGGGAGACUGGAAUUCCUGGUGUAGCGGUGAAAUGCGCAGAUAUCAGGAGGAACACCGGUGGCGAAGGCGGGGUCUCUGGGCCGAUACUGACGCUGAGGAGCGAAAGCGUGGGGAGCGAACAGG